UCAGUAGAACCCUUUUCAACACAAAGAAU
rnacentral:piRNA from 2 species